rnacentral:lncRNA from 13 species
GCCCAGAGAUUCCUGUGGAAGCUAUUCUACAAGGGUGAGUGAGAAGGUUGGGGGAGCAGAGGGGACUAAAC